CGCCGACACACCUGCCCUCGGGAAGGAGUCUGGCAGCAGCAGCAGUAUGAUGAGGAGACGGAAGCCCUGUGUUCUGUGAUCCCUUGCUGAAGUUCGGUUGGAAAGACGGGAGCCACAGCAGCUGGGGAGCCACAGACAGAGAGACUGAAGCCGAACAUCAUGCAAAAAUGGUGAGAAGUUGCAGUCAUUGAAAAGGUAAUUUCA